CAAUAGCGUAUAUUAAAGUUGUUGCGGUUAAAAGCUCGUAGUUGGAUUUCUGUCUAGGGCGGCCGGUCCACACUUUGUGUGAGUAUCUGGUUCGGUCUGGGCAUCCUCUUGGGGAUCGUUUCUGCGCUUAAUUGCGUGGGGCGGAAUUCAAGACUUUUACUUUGAGGAAAUUAGAGUGUUCAAAGCAGGCUAUUGCUUGAAUACAUGAGCAUGGAAUAAUGGAAUAGGACUUUGGUCCCAUUUUGUUGGUUUCUAGGGCCGAAGUAAUGAUUAAGAGGGACAAUUGGGGGCAUCCGUAUUUCGUUGUCAGAGGUGAAAUUCUUGGAUUUACGAAAGACGAACAACUGCGAAAGCACUUGCCAAGAGUGUUUUCAUUAAUCAAGAACGAAAGUUAGAGGAUCGAAGAUGAUUAGAU
rnacentral:rRNA from 1 species